AAAUGACUCUCGGCAACGGAUAUCUCGGCUCUUGCAUCGAUGAAGAACGCAGCGAAAUGCGAUACUUGGUGUGAAUUGCAGAAUCCCGUGAACCAUCGAGUCUUUGAACGCAAGUUGCGCCCAAAGCCAUUAGGCYGAGGGCACGCCUGCCUGGGUGUCACAC
rnacentral:rRNA from 1 species